rnacentral:rRNA from 1 species
UACGAAGGGGGCUAGCGUUGCUCGGAAUUACUGGGCGUAAAGGGCGCGUAGGCGGAUAGUUUAGUCAGAGGUGAAAGCCCAGGGCUCAACCUUGGAAUUGCCUUUGAUACUGGCUAUCUUGAGUUCGGGAGAGGUGAGUGGAACGCCGAGUGUAGAGGUGAAAUUCGUAGAUAUUCGGCGGAACACCAGUGGCGAAGGCGACUCACUGGCCCGAUACUGACGCUGAGGCGCGAAAGCGUGGGGAGCAAACAGG